rnacentral:rRNA from 1 species
GUCUAUACUGUAAAUUAUGAGUGCUGUAAUUUAGUAAAUUUUAUUGGGUUUCAAGCUAACGCGAUAAGCACUCCGCCUGAGAAGUAUAAUCGCAAGAUUGAAACUCAAAGGAAUUGACGGGAGCCUACUACUAGUGGUGGAGUAUGUGGUUUAAUUCGAUAAUCCGCGCAAAACCUUACCAAUUUUUGAAUAGGUAUAAAAGGUUUAAACAAAAUGUUUUAAACAAUUAUGUAUCUACAGGUUUGCACGACUGCCUU